rnacentral:sRNA from 1 species
UCAAGCGUUUACUAGUCAUGUGACUUCUUGUAACCUGAUAAAAACUGGGACUAACCAAUGAAAUCAGCAGUAGUGUGUAAAGCUAGGAACAUUAGAGACUUCUUCUUUCUUGUCAACAACUUUUUAAGUCACCAGUUUGGUUCUUGUCACGUCUUGGAACUCAACUCAACCAUUUCCUUGAAAAGACUCAGCUAAUACAAAAACAUGAAAUUCACAAGUGACUACAGGCCUACCCUCUUCAUUGUUCAUCUGUGUUUAACGUUGAUAGUUCUAGUACAGGGAAAAUACACAGAUGAUAAAGAUUGGCUGAGCAAGGUUGUCAACUCUCUAUCUCUAGAUGAGACUGACAGACACUCUGCUGGAGGGAUAGAUGCGAGUGAAGUCGAUGCUUACAUGACGCCUGAACACC